rnacentral:rRNA from 1 species
AACGAACGCUGGCGGCGCGCCUAAUACAUGCAAGUCGAGCGAGAAGACGUAGCAAUACGUUUGUAAAGCGGCGAACGGGUGAGGAAUGCAUGGGGUAACCUACCCUCGAGUGGGGAAUAACUAGCCGAAAGGUUAGCUAAUACCGCGUACGCUCCUCGGACUUCGGUUCAGGGAGGAAAGCGAUACCGUGGGUAUCGCGCUCUUGGAUGGGCUCAUGUCCUAUCAGCUUGUUGGGAGGUAACGG